rnacentral:RNase_P_RNA from 1 species
GCCGAUCAUACGGUCGCGUGGCGAAAGCCAUGAGGAAAGUCCGAGCACCGCAGAGCAGGACGCCGGAUAACGUCCGGUGGAGGCGACUCCAAGGAAAGUGCAACAGAAACAGACCGCAGAUCUAUGCUGCAAGGAUGGAAAGGGGAGGUAAGAGCUCACCGACGCCGCGGUAACGCGGCGUGCCGUGUAAACCCCGUCCGGUGCAAGAUUGGGUAUCCGUCACAUGGGCUGCUCGCUCGGCGGGUAUCGUGAAUAUCGCUAGAGUUCGCCGGCAACGGCGAUCCCAGAUAGAUGACCGUACACGACAGAACUCGGCUUACAGAUCG